rnacentral:rRNA from 1 species
AGUGAACGCUGGCGGUAGGCCUAACACAUGCAAGUCGAACGGCAGCACAGUAAGAGCUUGCUCUUACGGGUGGCGAGUGGCGGACGGGUGAGGAAUACAUCGGAAUCUACUUUUUCGUGGGGGAUAACGUAGGGAAACUUACGCUACUACCGCAUACGACCUACGGGUGAAAGCAGGGGAUCUUCGGACCUUGCGCGAUUGAAUGAGCCGAUGUCGGAUUAGCUAGUUGGCGGGGUAAAGGCCCACCAUGGCGACGAGCCGUAGCUGGUCCGAGCGGAUGAUCAGCCACACUGGAACUGAGACACGGUCCGAACUCCUACGGGAGGCAGCAGUGGGGAAUAUUCGACAAUGGGCGCAAGCCUGAUCCAGCCAGACCGCGUGGGUGAAGAAGGCCUUCGGGUUGUAAAGCCCUUUGUUGGGAAAGAAAAGCAGCAGGUUAAUACCCCGCUGUUCUGACGGUACCCAAAGAAUAAGCACCGGCUAACUUCGUG